rnacentral:rRNA from 1 species
ACUCAGGGAGGUAGUGACCAGAAAUAACGACGACGGGUUUCGAUCCGUCGAUUGCAAUGAGCACAAGUAAAAUUCUUAGCGAGUACCGACUGGAGGGCAAGUCUGGUGCCAGCAGCCGCGGUAAUUCCAGCUCCAGUAGCGUAUAUUAAAGUUGUUGCAGUUAAAAAGCUCGUAGUUGGACGUCUCUGCGACACGCAGCUCCGCCACGCAACUGGGUUCGUGCUUUAUUGAACGGCCUAGACCUGCGGGCCCUUUACCUUGAGGAAACUAGAGUGUUUAAGGCAGGCUGAGCCUGAAUACUGCAGCUGGGAAUGAUGCGCACGACUGUCUUGGCGAGGCAGCUCCACACUUUUAAUAGGAACAGUUGGGGGCAUUCGUACUCAGCAGUCAGAGGUGAAAUUCUUGGAUUUGCUGAAGACGGACUAGUUCGAAAGCAUUUGCCAAGGAUGUUUUCAUUAAUCAAGAACGAAAGUUAAGGGAUCCAAGACGAUCAGAUACCGUCCUAGUCUUAACCAUAAACGAUGCCGACUAGGGAUCGGGAGAGCCGUACACACUCUCUCGGCACCUCACGAGAAAUCCAAGUCUUUGGGUUCUGGGGGGAGUAUGGUCGCAAGACUGAAACUUAAAGGAAUUGACGGAAGGGCACCACAAGGAGUGGAGCCUGCGGCUUAAUUUGACCCAACACGGGGAAACUUACCAGGUCCAGACAUAGUGAGGAUUGACAGAUUGACAGCUCUUUCUUGAUCCUAUGGGUGGUGGCGCAUGGCCGUUCCUAGUUGGUGGAGUGAUCUGUCUGGUUAAUUCCGAUAACGAACGAGACCUCAGCCUGCUAACUAGAUCUUCUUAGAGGGACUUCCUGCUCGCGUGGGAGGAAGUGAGGCAAUAACAGGUCUGUGAUGCCCUUAGAUGUCCUGGGCCGCACGCGCGCUACACUGACGCAACCUGCCAGUUCCAAGCCUGUCAAGGCCUGGCAAACUGCCAACUGCGUCGUAGUUGGAAUUGACCCUUGCAGUUCUUGGUCAUGAACCAGGAAUUCCUAGUAAGCGCAAGUCAUCAGCUUGCACUGACUAAGUCCCUGCCCUUUGUACACACCGCCCGUCGCUCCUACCGAUUCCGAGUGAUCAGGUGAACCUCUCGGACCCUGGAAGUUAAGUGAACCUUAUCACUUAGA